UACGUAGGUGGCAAGCGUUGUCCGGAUUUACUGGGCGUAAAGAGCGCGCAGGCGGUCGUUCUAAGUCGCGUGUGAAAGCCCCCGGCUCAACUGGGGAGGGUCACGCGAUACUGAUCGACUCGGAAGGCAGGAGAGGGUAGUGGAAUUCCCGUGUAGUGGUGAAAUGCGUAGAUAUCGGGAGGAACACCAGUGGCGAAGGCG
rnacentral:rRNA from 1 species